AGAGUUUGAUCCUGGCUCAGGAUGAACGCUGGCGGUGUGGAUAAGGCAUGCAAGUCGAACGGUCGCCUUAGGCGACAGUGGCGAACGGGUUAGUAACACGUAGGGAUUUACCUUGAAGUCUGGAACAACUCGGAGAAAUUCGAGCUAAUACCAGAUAGUGUCGCCUUAGGCGACUAAAGUUUUUCCGAUUUAUCGGAACUUCGCUUCGAGAAAAACCUGCGUCCUAUCAGCUUGUUGGUAAGGUAAUGGCUUACCAAGGCUAUGACGGGUAGGGGGAGUGAGAGCUUGACCCCCAACAGAGGUACUGCGACACGGACCUCACACCUACGGGUGGCAGCAGUCGAGAAUCUUCCACAAUGGGCGAAAGCCUGAUGGAGCGACACCGCGUGUUUGAUGACUCCCUUCGGGGUGUAAAGAACUUUUCUGGAGGAACAAUCCCCCACCUAAUUUGGAUUUUAAUAAGAGACAACCUUUAAUUUUGUUUUAGGAACAAUUUUAUGUUGAAUAUUAAUUUAUUUGUUGUAGCUAUAAUUUUUGCAAAGCAAAAAUUGUAUCCAAAUUAGGUGGGGGAUGAGCGUACUCCAGGAAUAAGGGGCGGCUAACUUCGUGCCAGAAGCCUCGGUAAUACGAAGGCCCCAAGCGUUAUCCGGAAUCACUGGGCGUAAAGCGUGGGUAGGCGGUUUUGAUAGUGGCUGGUUAAAUUCUGGAGCUCAACUCCAGAGCGGCUGGUCAAACGUCAAAACUAGAGCAAGUGAGAGGCUAGUGGAACUUACCAAGUAGGGGUGAAAUCCGUUGAUAUGGUAGGGAACGCCAAAAGCGAAGGCAACUAGCUGGUGCUUAGCUGACGCUGAGCCACGAAAGCGUGGGGAGUGAACGGGAUUAGAUACCCCGGUAAUCCACGCCGUAAACGAUGUCAACUAGCCGUCUGGAGUAUCGACCCUCUGGGUGGCGAAGCUAACGCGUUAAGUUGACCGCCUGGGAAGUACGGUCGCAAGACUAAAACUCAAAGGAAUAGACGGGGACUUGCACAAGCGGUGGACCAUGUGGUUUAAUUCGACGACAAGCGAGGAACCUUACCAGGGCUAGACAUCCUAAUGAAAGUCUAUUGAAAAAUAGACCUUCUCUCAAGGACAUUAGGGUCAGGUGGUGCACGGUUGCCGUCAGCAUGUGCCUUGAGGUGCUCCCUUAAAUGGGUUAACAUGCGCAACCCUCGCCCUGUGUUACAAGUGUCACAGGGAACUGCCUCUGAAUAAGGGGAGGAAGGCGAGGAUGACGUCAAAUCAGCGUGUCCUUUGAUGCCCUGGGCUACACACGUGGUACAAUGGCCAAGACAAAGGGUCGCCAAACCGUAAGGUGGAGCUAAUCCCAUCAAACUUGGUCCCAGUUCGGAUUGAGGGCUGCAAUUCGCCCUCAUGAAGUCGGAAUCGCUAGUAAUCGUGAAUCAGCCAUGUCACGGUGAAUACGUUCUCAAGUCUUGUACUCACCGCCCGUCACAUUAGGGAAGCCGGUAGUACCCGAAGUCUCUCUUUUUAGAGGGCCUAAGGUAAGAUUGGUGACCAGAAUGAAGUCGUAACAAGGCACCGGUAGCGGAAGCUGUCGGUG
rnacentral:rRNA from 1 species